AUUUCUAUUUAUGUAGUUUAAAGAAACCAUUACAUUUUCAUUGUAAAAUUAAAUAUUUAUUAUUUCAUA
rnacentral:tRNA from 1 species